CGGACUUAACUCACUUUAAAAAGUCAUGUGUACAUUUUCCGUUUGUAUUUUGUGAUUUUCAUCAUUCUUUGGUCGAGUUUGUUUUUCUUCAUGCGUCUUUGUCGAUUGUAGGCCUGAUGUAGGCUAUUAUACAUUUGAUUUCAAUGCCUGUGUAGGAUUUAUCUGUCGUAGUUGGUAUUAGUGGUCAGCUGUUUUAUACACUGGUUCCUUUCACCUUGAUGUCCGCAUUUGAAGUUGGGAUGGUUGUGACUUGAUAGCGUGUAUUAUGCAUCUAUUUCAUGUUCACAGUUUGCGCGAUUCCACAAGUAAAUUAGUCAAUUCAUGAUAAGGUUGAGUAGUGGUUGACAUUGUAGCCUACACGCAGUUCCACAUUCCUUUACAACAAAUAUUGCAAUGAUAAUUAAUGCCUGGGGUAAUUUGUAUUAGUUUUAGCUGUUCUCCAAAAUACCAUUUUAGAGUUGAAAAAUUAAGUAUAAAUGCAGUAAAUGAGCUUCAACCAUAGGUUUAGCAGAACUAAUGCAACUAGUACAGUAGCAUACAGUCAUUGUACAGUAGGCUAUUCCCAUUUCCGGGUUAUGAGACAGACAGCGUGGUAGGCAGCAUCACAGGCUGGAAGUGUUUGGUUUGAUGAAAUCAGGAAGUUGACGUUUUUCCUUUGCAUUCCGUGGUUGUGAGUGUUCCUUCGGCUAUUUUGUCUUCGAUUAAACUUUCACUUGUGGAUGUACCGAAGUUUAGCCUGUUCAAUGCUUUAGAAGCGCAAAAUCAGUACCAUUCGACAGUGCUUGAACACUGCGGAGAAUGCGCCCAUCUCUGACCAGUUUCUUCCACCACAGCAGUGACUCAGACUGGGACCAGUCCCACUGACCACCACCACCCUGUGCUGGUGCUCGUUCAGUCCUGCCCUGCUGUGGAGGAGGAGGCAUGUCCUACUGGUCAGUCGGCCUCUCCAAGGCCACUGGAGACACACAGAGCAACAACAUGGAGGAACAAGAGAAACACCAUCUUGAACAAGAUGGUGAGAGAAUUCACUUUUACUGUGUUGUACUUAUCUCAGUCUUUCCCUUAUUCCUUACAUUGGAGGAGAAUGUCCAAUGUCCCAUCAGACCUUUAGAGAAGGAUAUGAGUAGAAGGAAUCAAGGAAAGAUGGCGUGAUAAUGAGCCAUAGGCUGGUUAAUGUGUUUUCCUUGGUUGUGGUUUUAGUACUGGAACAUUCUUUGUGUGUCUGUGUUUCCAGUUCAACCCUCUGCCAAAGUCCUGUGUCACUGUGUCUUGUUGCAGUUCAACCCUCUGCCAAAGUCCUGUGUCACUGUGUCUUGUUGCAGUUCAACCCUCUGCCAAAGUCCUGUGUCACUGUGUCUUGUUGCAGUUCAACCCUCUGCCAAAGUCCUGUGUCACUGUGUCUUGUUGCAGUUCAACCCUCUGCCAAAGUCCUGUGUCACUGUGUCUUGUUGCAGUUCAACCCUCUGCCAAAGUCCUGUGUCACUGUGUCUUGUUGCAGUUCUGCUGACACUGUGACCAGUGUGGCGCUCAGGCUACUGGUGAAACAUAAAGAUACUGUAUCAAUUAGGGUGUGUGUGUGUGUGUGUGUGUGUGUGUGUGUGUGUGUGUGUGUGUGUGUGUGUGUGUGUGUGUGUGUGUGUGUGUGUGUGUGUGUGUGUGUG